rnacentral:misc_RNA from 1 species
UUUCCGUAGGUGAACCUGCGGAAGGAUCAUUAUUGUAUAACCGUAUUUCUAGGGCUGUCUCUGACCCGAUUGUUCGUUCGCGCCCGGUUGCCCUCACACACAUCCAUCUCACCCCUAUCUGCAGCACCUCUGGUGUCCCCCUUUUCCUUGUUCGUAGGGGGGCUUACAUUUUAACCCAAACUUUGUAUGCAGUUUAGAAUGAAUUUUUUGUUUUUUCUAUAGCACAUUCAUUACAACUUUCAACAACGGUUCUCCUGGCUCUGACAUCAAUAACAGACC